CAUCUGAUGGGAACAUAAAAUGUUAUUCUUUUGUAAAUUCUCUUUGAGGGAACUGUCUCUCUGCUGAGCAAAUUCUCCUUUUGUAACUGUUAGUACUACUACUGAAUUGGUUGCAGUUAUUUGUUCUAUUCUUUGCAUGCAGUGGCUUAACAAUUGCGUCAGUCGUAAGAACUACACAACUUUUAUUCUGCUUAUUGCCACAAGUCUCAUUUGGGUAUGUGGAAAAUCCACGUCAUUGCUCAAUUGAGAUGUUCUGAUUUCUUUUAGUAUUCUCUUCAAUAAUUUUAACUUUGAAGCUUACUAGAUUUUUGGCUUUUGUGGUUUCAUCUCUCAGAUGGCCUGAUUCGGAUUGGACUGAGAUCCUUUGGUGCGUUGCCAUUUGAUUCGUAUCAUUUCUUUUAGUGUUCUCCUUCAGUUUUUCUUGUAAAAAUCACCCAAUUUGUAAGAACGGGUCCUAUCUAUCAUCAAUUUGGCUAAAUUUUCAAUUCAAGCUAAAAUUUGCUGCCUUUGUUGGAUCUAUGAUCACUUCCUUGUCAAAGGUUUCUCAACCCUUGGAGUGGAGAACUACAACAGGCACUUACAUUCAUUUAACUUCCGCGUCCAUCUAUAAAAUGAGAUUCAUAGUUGAUUGAUCCAUUGUAUGGAAAUUGAUUAGGUUGUGUGGCCUUGGAUUCAAGUACUUUAGACUCUGUUGCAUUUGCUUUUGUAACCAUUGGUGGUACCCGAACUAGUACCCAUAGCAAACUAAUUAAUGGACAUGAAUUAAAAAUAUGAAAUGAUACUGAAUUCACUUUAGUUGCACCACCACUAUCAAAUAUCAACAUCAUUCAAGACAUUUGCAGAUCCCACUUUUUUUUUUUUUUUUUUUUUACCCUUUUGUAUUUGCAGAUUCUCAUAAGUUAAAACAAGGGGAUACAUGAUCCCACUUUUUUUUUCCUUCUAUAUUUUCAGAUUCUCACACAAGAAUAUUGUGUUUGCAAGAAUGACAUUCUUGAUGCGCAACUAUUGCAAGAAACAUGAUAUUUGUUCCAAAUUAGACCGAUUAAUCAUGAAAUUUCAGAUAUUUAGUGCAACCAAAUGCACCCUAAAGAUAGUGCUAUGAAGCUCUUUUAUGUAUACGCCAACAAGCCAAGUACGUACCAAUUCUAGUUUGUAGAAAUUGUUCCCGUUUCUAUUCUUUUCUGUGUUGUUGGGAUAUGUAUACAUCUUUGACAUAUUCCGGUUAUUUUCCUGAAGAGCUGGAUUUUUGUAGUACAAGCCGCAGGGAAUAAGGGCCCAAAGAGCUGGAAUUUUUGCCAUUCCUUUUAAAAAAUUGCUCGAGUUGAAUGAUCCUAACCAUCUGAUUAUCUCUGGCAAAAAUGAUAGUUUCAUGGUACUUUCUUCCAAAAUUUCAGGACAGCCAUCAUGUGCACAAACGAGAUGGGUAAAACUCCACUCCAGUGACUCGUAACAGCAUAAUCUAUUAUUUCAGGGCAAUGUUGCCAUGGGGCAAUGUUGGCACAGGUGGGUGGUUGAAUAAGUAGUGUUUGGCAUCUAUGUAUGUAGAGUGCAGAAUUUUCAUCUGCUGAAAAGAUGAUGCAUAGGUGCAGUAUAUGGAUCAUGUACGCCUUGAGAAAUGGUGAAGGGUGGGAAGCUAAUCUUCUCAUUUGAUGCAACAAAGAAAGCUCGCUUUGGCGUGGUUGGUUUGAUAUUAUCCUUCAAGGUUAGGUUGCAAGACUGCCAAUUCCUUUUGGACUUCCAAGUAAUCAAGACACAAGAACAGAACACAAUUCUGUUGGGGUUUUUGAUACUGAAUAUUUCUUGCUCAUUCUGCUUAUGGAAUACUAAUCUCGUCUGUCUCAUGAUCAAACCUCAUCAAAAUUUGAACCCACGCUUCAAUCGUUUAUCUGGUGCACAACAACAAUGUAGAUCCAUGUAGGAUAUUGGAUAAGCUAAUGAAUCCCAUGGCAUUCGACAUCAGGUUACAUGGAUGCACAUAUCAUUCUCUCGACUUGAAGAGCUUUUUAUUUUACUUUAUUUUAUUAUUCUCUAACACCUGAUACUGAAUAUAACAUUUUGCUCACUGGUGGGAGUUUUUGGAAUGGCCAAUCAAGUCAUUGAGAACCAUCCAUUGUCAUCUAACAUUUAGCUUGCAUCACUGAUUGAACUGUUGAAUAUUUUUGUUACCAGGGAACUGGUAUCAUUUUCUUGAAAACUUGUUUGUUAUUUCAUGAAUAGCAAAUACUGGGUGUUCUUUGGGUCUUUUUUAAUACUUUCAGUUGCUUUCUUGUACUAGCCAAUGCUUGGGAGGAGGAGGAUGAAAUUGUUUUGGUCACUUGUCGAAUUAAGAAUCCUGAACUGGACAUGGUUAGCGGACCUGUGAAAGAGAAGCUUAAAAACUUCAUAAAUGAGUUUUAAGCAAUUCUGACCAUUGGUUAAUUAUCGUUGAAAAUCUUGUUCGCCGGUGUUUCUAACUUUUUUUUUUCUUUGUUUUCUUUUUGAGCUAGAUAUGAAAUGCGAUUCAACAUGAAAACUAGUGUUGCUUCACAAAAGCAGCUAUCAGCAUCUGCUGUAGAUUUUCCUCGGAUUAAUGAGAGUUACACUAGCAGGUAUGUCUUUA